rnacentral:rRNA from 1 species
UUCCUACGGGGGGCAGCAGUGGGGAAUAUUGGACAAUGGGCGAAAGCCUGAUCCAGCAAUGCCGCGUGAGUGAUGAAGGCCUUAGGGUUGUAAACCCCUUUCAGCGGGGAAGAUAAUGACGGUACCCGCAGAAGAAGUCCCGGCUAACUCCGUGCCAGCAGCCGCGGUAAUACGGAGGGGACUAGCGUUGUUCGGAAUUACUGGGCGUAAAGCGCACGUAGGCGGAUUUGUAAGUCAGGGGUGAAAUCCCGGGGCUCAACCUCGGAACUGCCUUUGAUACUGCAAUAUCUCGAGUCCGGAAGAGGUGAGUGGAAUUCCUAGUGUAGAGGUGAAAUUCGUAGAUAUUAGGAAGAACACCAGUGGCGAAGGCGGCUCACUGGUCCGGUACUGACGCUGAGGUGCGAAAGCGUGGGGAGCAAACAGGAUUAGAUACCCUUGUAGUCCGU